rnacentral:rRNA from 1 species
GAUGAACGCUGGCGGCGUGCUUAACACAUGCAAGUCGAACGGAAAGGCCCAAGCUUGCUUGGGUACUCGAGUGGCGAACGGGUGAGUAACACGUGGGUGAUCUGCCCUGCACUUCGGGAUAAGCCUGGGAAACUGGGCCUAAUACCGGAUAGGACGAUGGUUUGGAUGCCAUUGUGGAAAGUUUUUUCGGUGUGGGAUGAGCUCGCGGCCUAUCAGCUUGUUGGUGGGGUAAUGGCCUACCAAGGCGUCGACGGGUAGCCGGCCUGAGAGGGUGUACGGCCACAUUGGGACUGGGGUACGGCCCAGACUCCUACGGGAGGCAGCAGUGGGGAAUAUUGCACAAUGGGCGCAAGCCUGAUGCAGCGACGCCGCGUGGGGGAUGACGGCCUUCGGGUUGUAAACUCCUUUCGCUAGGGACGAAGCGUUUUUGUGACGGUACCUGGAGAAGAAGCACCGGCUAACUACGUG